rnacentral:lncRNA from 1 species
UUUCCCACCCUAAAAAUUCCCAGAAUUCCCAGAUUUUUUGGGAAUUCCCACCCAGAAUUCCCAGGAGAAUCCCAAAAAUUCCCAGAAUUCCCACCCAAAAAUUCUCAGAAUUCCCGGAUUUUUUUGGGAAUUCCCACCUGGAACAUCUCCUGGAUCAUUCUCACCCCAAAUCCCACCCGCAAUUCCCAGGAAAAUCCCAUAAUUCCCGGAAUUUCCUCCCAGAAUUCCCAGAAUUCCUGGAAUUCCCACCUGGAACACCAGCCGGAAUUCCCGGAUUUUCCACCCGGAAUUCCCGGAUUUUUUUGGGGUUUCCCACCUGGAACAUCUCCUGGAAUUCCCACCAGGAAUUCCCACCCAGAAUUCCCAGAAUUCCAAGCCAGAAUUCCCAGGAAAAUCCCGGAUUUCCCAGAAUUCCCACCUGGAACAUCUCCUGGAAUUCCCACCAGGAAUUUCCACCCAGAAUUCCCAGGAAAAUCCCGGAUUUUUUUGGGAAUUCCCACCUGGAACAUCUCUCAUGGAAUUCCCACCCAGAAUUCCCACCCAGAAUUCCCAGGAGAAUCUCCAAAAAUUCCCAGAAUUUCCACCCAAAAAGUCCCAGAAUUCCCAGAUUUUUUGGGAAUUCCCACCAGGAACAUCUCCUGGAAUUCCCACCAGGAAUUCCCACCCAGAAUUCCCAGGAAAUUCCCGGAUUUUUUUGGGGUUUCCCACCUGGAACAUCUCCUGGAAUUCCCACCAGGAAUUUCCACCCAGAAUUCCCAGGAAAUUCCCGGAUUUUUUUGGGAAUUCCCACCUGGAACAUCUCCUGGAUGCCCACCUGGAAUUCCUUGGAAUUCCCACCCAGAAUUCCCACUCGGAUAUUUGGGAAUUCCCACCUGGAACAUAUCCCAAGGAAUUCCAACCUGGACCAUCUCUCAGGGAAUUCCCACCCAGAAUUCCCACCCAGAAAUUCCCAGAAUUCCCACCCACAAUUCCCAGGAAAAUCCCAAAAAUUCCCAGAAUUUCCACCCAAAAAUUCUGAGAAUUCCCAGAUUUUUUGGGAAUUCCCACCUGGAACAUCUCUCAUGGAAUUCCCACCCAGAAUUCCCACCCAGAAUUCCCAGGAGAAUCCCAAAAAUGCCCAGAAUUCCCACCCAGAAUUCCCGGAAAUCCUGGAGUUCCCACCAGGAAUUUCCACCUGGAAUUCCAGGAUUUUCCACCCAGAAUUCCCGGAUUUUUUUGGGGUUUCCCACCUGGAACAUCUCCUGGAAUUCCCACCAGGAAUUUCCACCCAGAAUUCCCAGGGAAUUCCCGGAAUUCCCAGAAUUCCCACCUGGAACAUCUCCUGGAUGCCCUCCCCGCUCUGCGCCGACGUCUCCCAGUAGAGGAAUCCGCGGCUCUCGGCCCAGAGCCGGCCCUCGCUCUCGUCCACCACCCGCAGCUUCCCCGCGUCCACCUGACAAUAAACCACGGGAAAAACGGGAAUAA